CAGCCCCACCCCCUGACCUCUGUGGAGAAGGGGAGGGAGUGGAGAUUGAGUUCAAUCAUUAAUGGCCAAGGAUUUAAUCAAUUAUGUCUAUGUAAUGAAGCUUUCACAAAACCUUGAAAGGAUGGGGCUCGGAGAGCCUCUGGUUUGGUGAACCUGUGGAGAUUUGGAGAGAGUGAAGUGCUCAGAGGGGGCAUGGAAGCUCUGUACCCUUCCCACUACCCGGACCUAUGCAGCCAUCUUCCAUCUGGCUGUUCCUGAGUCAUAUCCUUUUAUAAUAAACUGAUUGAAACACUCACUCUAGAGCAGCAGGAGCAGAAGAGCCCCUAGACAUCAUGUCACCCACGCACUUGCCACAGCUUCCAUCUUCUCCUAUUUUAAUCACUUCAAGGAUUUCUCAUCUAAAAACUACAUUUCCCAAUGUGACCAGAUUCUACCAGUGGAAGUUAGGAUGUGUACAACUUCUGUACUGCGCCACUUGCCUUCUACCUCUUCUUUCUCUUCCCACAGCAUGCUUAUUGGUGAAACAUUACUGAGCCUAAAGUCUUUUUAGAGCCUCAGAUCUAUGACUGGCAGAGUUCCAGUGUCACGUGGUGAAGGAGAGGGCGCCAGACCUCCGCCUCCUGAUUCCCAGUCUCCGUUCUCAUAUCUCUGCUUGUCCAAGUACAGCCUUUAAAAUCUGUAGCAAGACAAGAUGGUACUGCUUCUGAAGAUAACGAAUUCCCCAUAUUCAGAGGCUUGAUGGCCAUCAAAGAGUGAUACGGUGAUAGCAAAAGGGAGAAGCAGCUUAUUUCUCACUUCAGAGGCAGAAGAAUAGUCUGAAAUGAGGAGUACAAACAAACCUCCAGGGAAAUCCAAGUCCGUGAUGAGAAAGAGCCCAAAGGCCACCCAAAUGAAAGAAACAAUAGACGGAGACCACCUCCCCCCUGGUCACAGAAGAUGGAGCGAGUGGCUAUGUGGGGAACAGAUGGAGGGACACUGGCCCAGUUUCAACUGCUAUUUAGGGUUUGGAUAGCUGGUUCUCGCUAAAGGCUGAGACAGAAAGCAUGAUAUUAGCUUCCUAUUGACUUUUCCUAGGGGCAAGUCUACACCUUAAAGUUGAGAGGGAGCUUCAGAAUGUAUUGAUCUGUCAUUGUAUAUAUGUACCAGUUCUAUUUCUGUAACUUGGACUGCAAUUUCCUUCAUCAUAUCAAAGGAUUUGCUAUAUAGAGAACCUUAAAUUUUACAAUGCCAGUGACUGUCAAUUAAGAUAUGAUUGAAUAUAUCACGGGUAUCAUAUGUUCAAAUGAGGCCUGUCGCUAAUAGCACUGGAGGCAAUGGCUUCUCUUUCUCCUCUUUCUAGGAAUGGGAAACUGCUCAACCACAGCCCGAUUGUCACGGCCAACGUGAAGUAAAGAAAAAAUUCAAUGGAAAGGAAUGUCUCUAAUCUAGGCAUUCAAAUCCCUGGGGGAGGGGAGCCCCCAAAACACAGGCUUCCAAGGCAUUUUUUUCUGUUUUUCCUUAGGCAUGUCUCCUACUCUACAAAACCAUUUCCUUUUCUUCACACUUGGGCCUUACAGCAGAUUGAGGGGAUAAGCUGACCAAGGAGAAUGAUCUCAUUUUACAGACAUGAAUGUUGGGCCUCAGAAUGCCUAGCUGACUGGGAAAGUGUCACAGAACCGGUGGACAGAGUCCACCUUGAGCUAGUCUUGUGCCCCUUCUCUGAGAGCCUUCCUUUUUCUCCGAGGCCUAUGUCAUUACUAAGCCGGAGGCACAUUGGUCUGUCUAGCAUGAGGGUUUGAAUUCUCUACUCUGCUCUGUCACAAACCCACCGUGUGACUUCAGAGAAGCCAUUUCUCCAUAUUGGUCUCUGAACUCAGGGAGCUCCAUACCAACAAGCAGCCGGAAGACCUCAGAGAUGAAUGCCUUGCAUCAGAAACCCCAGGAACAAGGAGCUGGGCAAGAGCCAUUGCGGCUGGUCCAGCUAAUCCUGGUGGACAGCUCUGCCUGCAGUGACAGAGAGGCCACCCAGGCUGCUGUCUGAUGUGGCCAGGGCAGGCUCGAGCCUGGGUGGUCAGUUUCUCUGGUUGGCCGAGGUGUGGGUGUGCGGGAAUCCGCUCCUCGCCCACAUAGCCCAGGAUGCUGUGUCUUGCCCAGAGGCACUCUAAGGAGAAGGCAAGCCCACUCCUCCUGGGGGCCCCGGCUGUUUCGGGGCCUUUCGAGGUUUUCCAGGACCUCAGAGGCACAGCCAAAAGUUGAGUCAAGUUCUGAAGAGAAGUGGAAAUACCUUCAUCUUGAAGAACAGGCAGGCGAGCUGGGGGCCUCUUUCCUCCAACAUCCUCCCUGACAGGUUAGAAAACGGAUUUUAGAGAGGGGGGCCUUUUAUGGUCACUUAGCAAGUGAGCUUCAGGGUAUUUAAUUUUGCAGUGCCAAGGGAAAUGAGGAAGUGUGCUAAGACUUGCGAAUCCACCAUGCCCAAUCUUCCGGAGUCACCCUGUCACGUGUUGGCAGCCGUCCCCUCCCUCGCUCCACCUCCACCCCUUCCCAAACCACCACCCAUCUCACUGCCUCUUCCAUAAGGCACUUACCUCACAUGCAGGUAGACUUGCCUUACACAGUUCACAUUCACUGACAGAUAAGCCAAUAUAGAAGGGCAGGUGAUGAAACUAGACUGGCCAGGGUGGGGUGUGUGUCUCAGCUCUACUACUCAAGCUCUGUGGCCUUGGACAACGUACUCAGCCAUGCGGUGCCUCAGUUUCCUGAACAUUGUAAUCAGAUAACAGUCAUACCCAUCUCAUAGGGUUGCUCUGCUAGUUGUGGCUACCUUUAGUUGAAAACCUACCAGGUGCCAUGAGCUUUACCAGCGAGUCCUAAACAACAACACGCUGCAAAACAUGCCCUAUUAUCUGUCUUUCACAGAAAGGUAUCAGCUCAGCCUGUACGAAGUAGGGUGCUGACUCCAUCUCAGGUUGGUCUGACCUCAAAUACAAAGCUCUUUUCCUAUACCUAGGGUGAGGACAUAUCCCAGUUUCCCUAGGAAGUUGUAAUUAAUAUCUAUUGUCUAUAAAUAAUUGUUUUUUUUAAAGAUUUAUUUAUUUAUUUAUUUAGUUGAAAGGAAAAAGAGAGAGAGUAUGAGCAUUGGGGUGGGGGCAGAGAGAGAAGCAGGCUCCCCGCUGAGCAGGGAGCCCAAUGCCCAGAGCCAAAGCAGAGGCUUAACUGACUGAGCCACUUAGGUGCCCCCUAGAAAUAAUUACUAACAGUGCCUCUUCCACAUUCAUAAGUGUACUGGUUUGGGCAAUAAAUUAUUUGGUUGCCUUACAUGCUCUGUAUUUCUUCUCUGCAAAGGAGAUUCUAAAUUUCUAUAAAAGCCACAUUUAGAAUUAGAAACUCUGUCUGGAGAGCCAAGGGUGGGCAGGCAAGCUGGCCUGGUUUGGUAAAUAGAUUAGGCAUCUUGUUUACUGGUAGAUUUGGGGCCCGAUUGGAAAGAAAUACAGCCUCCCUUUCUUUGUCUUUGCAAGUUUUACCAAGAUGCAUCUGCAAUCACCUGACCUUUUCACAAAAGAUUCUGGAAUUCAGAGACCUGUUUUGUGGUGGUUACUGAGUUAUCUCCCUUAACUGGGAUGUUUCUGCAAUUUUCUGCAAUAUUCCAUAGGUCAGAUCAAACAGCCCGGAUAGGAAUGCAGGGUGGUAAGUUCAGAAACUUUUCCUAUGGACCUUUAUCUAUUUUUAUUUCUGGGUUUUGAGUUCUAACCCUUUCAUAACAGUUCUCCUUCUUUAAAGAAAAUGUUGAUAUUGGAUAGAGAAACAAAGAGCAACAACCAUAACAAAGGAAUCACAAUAAAAACUAAAAGACAAAACAAAACACCAACCAAAAAAAAAAAAAAAAAAACA